rnacentral:rRNA from 1 species
GACGAACGCUGGCGGCGUGCCUAACACAUGCAAGUCGAACGGAGAAAUUAUUUCGGUAAUUUCUUAGUGGCGAACGGGUGAGUAACACGUAAACAACCUGCCUUUUAGAUGGGGACAACAUCUCGAAAGGGAUGCUAAUACCGAAUGUUUUAGCUUUACCGCAUGGCAGAGCUAAUAAAGGUGGCCUCUAUUUAUAAGCUACCGCUAAAAGAGGGGUUUGCGUCUGAUUAGCUAGUUGGUAGGGUAACGGCCUACCAAGGCAAUGAUCAGUAGCCGGUCUGAGAGGAUGAACGGCACACUGGGACUGAGACACGGCCCAGACUCCUACGGGAGGCAGCA